AGCAGCCGCGGUAAUUCCAGCUCCAAUAGCGUAUAUUAAAGUUGUUGCAGUUAAAAAGCUCGUAGUUGAACUUCGGGGUUUACCCAUUGGUCAGGCUUAAUUGUCUGUACUGGUGAGAUAAAUCUCUACCUUCUGAGGAACUUUCAUGUCAUUAAUUUGGUGUGAUUGGAAAUCAGGACUGUUACUUUGAAAAAAUUAGAGUGUUUAAAGCAGGCUAACGUCUGAAUACAUUAGCAUGGAAUAAUGAAAUAGGACGGACUGAUUCUAUUUCGUUGGUUUCUAGGAUCACCGUAAUGAUUAAUAGGGAUAGUUGGGGGCAUUAGUAUUCAAUUGUCAGAGGUGAAAUUCUUGGAUUUAUUGAAGACUAACUACUGCGAAAGCAUUUGCCAAGGAUGUUUUCAUUAAUCAAGAACGAAAGUUAGGGGAUCGAAGACGAUCAGAUACCGUCGUAGUCUUAACCAUAAACUAUGCCGACUAGGGAUCGGACGAAGUUAAUUUUAUAAUGACGCGUUCGGCACCG
rnacentral:rRNA from 1 species